UUUAGGUUUGAGAUACACGUUACCAAACUGUAGUUGUUCAGUUUCAGUUUGUGCCACCUUUGGGGCUAAUUAAGUGCAGAGAGUUUACUUCCCAUCCUGCCGAAGUGAGAAACUGAGGUGAGGUCAGAUGGAGUGCUGAAGGGUACAGAGCUCACAAGAACUUGAACCUGAGAAGUUGGGCUCCGGAGGUUGAGGGCCUAACGGCUUCCCCACCCUGGCCAGCUGGGAUAUAUGGGGUCUCCUUCUGUUGUAGGGAUCUGGGAUUGGAAGAACCUGUCCAUGGUCAAGCGCAAGCUUUUGUUUCACGUUGAUUGUAUCCUUCCUCAGACUUUCUGGGCUGUAAAGUAUGAGCACGCCAGUCUAUCCUUAAGUAAAAGUUCCUUGCUUUAUUUGCCGGUCUAGUAAACCCUAGAAAUAAACCAGAA